rnacentral:rRNA from 1 species
UACGCAGGUGGCGAGCGUUGCCCGGAAUUACUGGGCGUAAAGGGUGCGUAGGCGGCCGGACAAGUCGUAGGUUAAAGCCCGGGGCUCAACCCCGGAAAGGCCUACGAUACUGUCUGGCUUGAGGGCUGGAGAGGCUGGCGGAAUUCCCGGUGUAGGGGUGAAAUCCGUAGAGAUCGGGAGGAACACCGGAGGGGAAGCCGGCCAGCUGGACAGCUCCUGACGAUGAGGCACGAAAGUGUGGGGAGCAAACCGG